rnacentral:lncRNA from 1 species
CGUACAACAUAUAAAUAUAAAAAGAACAUAAAAAGAACAUAAAAAGCUUCAAAAAAGAAAAAACAAAAACAAAACCCAAAGAGGUCUUUAAAAUUUUUCUGGAAGUAUAAAACCAUGAGAGUGCUCAGACCAAGGGUGAUGCUGCAAGGCCAGAGGCAGCAGGAGGCAGACAAGCACAGCUUCUCUUCCAGAGCCUGCACCUAACAGUGUUUCUAUCAGCAGCUGGAUGCUCUACAGGGGAGCCACCCAAACGGCACUCUCCUUUGACAGGGA